rnacentral:lncRNA from 1 species
UAUUAUAUAUUUACGAUGGGGUUAGUUAACAACAUAACAUCAGUCUCUCUCGCAUAUAUUGCCAUCUCCACGAAAAUGAACCAACUAGUCCCCCCCCCCCUCCCCCCUCAUUUACUACUCCAUGAACUGAUCAUUGAACGGUCGAACAGUUACAUGCAUGCCAGCACAACCUGAUUUUAAGCCAUAUACAUACAUUAUACGUGUGCCCGUACUAGUUCAAAUGCCUAUUUUUCACCAAAGUUCAAACCUGCUGUUCCAACUUGCCCACCACUUCCCUUGGUGACCACCAGCCAGUCGCUUCUUCUAACAACUCUUUGAUUCUGGGAAGGAUAUCAACUCCAACGCUGCAGACCCAGAAUAAAAAAAAGAGAAGGUUGCAAACUCGCUUCUCGGCUCGUUCUCCUCAGUCUGAUUUGGUCCGCCUUUUGUGCUUCUCACCAGCCGAUACAUAAUUUACAGAUAACAAUUAGGGCUGUGUUAUUUACGAUGAAAGAUUAUCUAAUUUUUUUGAUAAUCAUUAAUGUUAUAAAUGAUAGGAUUAACUACUAAAAAAUUAAACAUCUACUUAGAAAUAUAAGAUGAUAAACUUCUACGUAAAACUUAUAAACAAACAUACGAUUCAGUAGUUUGAAAAGUAUUCACGCCGAUUACUGAGGAAAAGAAUACAGCCUAGGCACAUGGAAUUGCUUAUCAUUCACUCUCCUUUUACUUUGGAUGGCUAGGAAUGUUGACCUGUUUAGGGGCACGUUCUAACUGAAUGAUUGGAAAUGCCUUUCACAAGAGCUUUCGAAAUUUUUAAUAGGAUGAUGUCGAUUGUAUCUGCACUGAAUGUAAUAGGUAACCAAUCAAUUUUGCCGUCCACUCCUACAAACUUGCCACCUCAAGUUAAACCGGUGCUUGUUGCAUCAGGAGCAGUUACACUAGGGUAAAACCGUAAAAGUAGCCAUAAUUGGUCAUAGGGGUAAUUAAAUUAUACUAUAAUACUCUCUCUUUUAUAAUGUAAUACUUUUUGGUCUUAUCUAGAUUUAUAUAGAUGUUAAUGUAUCUAAGCACAUAAAAAUAAACCAUAUAUAUUAAUGAAUAAAUAAAUCUAGACAAAAUUAAAAAGUUUUACGAUAUAAAACAAAGGGAAUACACAUCGUAUGUGAAAUUUUACCAUCAUUGAGAAAAUAACUCUACGUAUUAAAAUUUACACAUAUCUUGAGGUACAAAAUAUGCUGAGUUACCAAAUUUUACAAUAGAAAAGGUGGUGCCUACAACUACUUCGUCAAAAAUGAUAAUAAAAGUACUCAUAUUUUAAAGCUAAAUAUCGUUUUUUUUUUAAAAAAAUUAUGCUAGCAAUGUUGACGUAGGAAGUUUCUUAACAAACUUUUGCAAAGAGUGCCAUCUAGAUAAUGAGAGGGUACUUGGAGAAAAGGAAGAAUAAUUGAUAUUUUAAUUUUCAAAAAAAAUAUAAUAGUCUGGUUUAUUACGGUACCCAUGUUCCUCCGGUCCGCCUUCCGGGCUUGUAUGAAACACAUUUAUUUUAAAUUAGUUUCACAAAGAUCAGUUUAGUUCAUACAAAAAUCCUCUGAAAUUUCUUGACCAAUAGCAAGCCUCAACGUCUAAUUGCAUAAUAUGAGUAAUUUUACCAGAUAUCUUGGAUCUCAAGGUACUAUAAAUUUUGAAAAACGGUAAAAUUACAUGCAUAAUAUAGUAAGUAGCAGCACCAGUCUUGCAUGUAUUUUCUAUCACCACGGAAGUGAAGUAACAAGUUGUUUAUUCCAUCCACUUUUACUCAGUGCCGGUUCUAAGAUUUUGGUGGUCCAGGGCAAAACUAAAAAUGAGGCCCUAAAUAUAACAUGUAAGUAAUAAUAUUUAUAUACAUAAUGUUACCGAUUAAUAUUUAAAGUGUAUCAAAAAUCAAUAUUUAUAUAAGAAAACUAGCAAUAUUGGCAGAGCCUUUUAAAUUAUGUUACCGAUUAAUAUUUAAAGUGUAUCAAAAAUCAAUAUUUAUAUAAGAAAACUAGCAAUAUUGGCAGAGCCUUUGAAAUUAUUUUCUUAAUAUUUCUAAAUGCAAAGACAUUGACGAUGAGCAAUAUUAAAAGUAUAUGAAUUUUCUUUCCAAGUCAUAAAGAAUUGUCUGUUUUUUCUUGAUGACAUGAUAUGAAGAAUGAGCUUAUAAUUUAAAAACAUAAUGUAUUGGUGUUGAACUCAUACAUAUAAAUUGUAAAGUAAAAAAAAAAGAAACUGUAAAACUAAGAAAAUAAGUGAAUUAAUCAAAUAAAUAAGUGAAUAAGUAAUAGCAAUUGUCAUGCUAAUCUUAGGUGGGGGCCCCAAAUUUUUGGGGGCCCGGUGCGGCCGCCCCUCAGGACUGGCCCUGCUUUUACUGCUCCAUGGAGAGCAGGUGGUUCUAACGACCAAAUGAUCAACUAGCAGCAAACAUGUCCCACUCCAGCAUCAGCAUCUUCAUCUUCAUCUUCAUCUACAGCUGCUACAUGCUUUUCCAAGAAUCCCAGUUUCCCUGGCAACCACUAUCCAGCGAUAUCUUUUAGCAUCAAUCGUUGGAGGAUCAGCUCUGACGCUGCAGCUCCACCGAAAAUGGUCGCGAACUCUGCCUCUCUGGCUCUGCUCCUUCUCCUCACUCUGAUUCGUCUGCUUUUGUGCUUCGCAGCGCAUGGUUUCCUCUUGUCAGGAUCCUCUUUGUCCGUAGAGGAUGUGCUUCACUCGCCGGAUGGCACUUUCACCUGUGGCUUCUACAGAAUCUCCCCCAACGCCUCCACCUUCUCCAUCUGGUUUUCCAGCUCGUCCGAGAAAACUGUCGUCUGGAGCGCAAAUCCUCUGCACCCCGUGUACACCUGGGGAUCCAAAGUUGAGCUAAAAUCCGAUGGCAGGAUGGUUUUGAGAGAUUACGCUGGCCAGGUUGUGUGGAGCAACAAUGUGAGCUCUUCAUCUGAUGCUCAGCAAGCUCAGCUCCUGGACACUGGGAACCUCAUUGUGAGGGGCAAAGGAGGUAACAUCCUGUGGCAAAGCUUUGAUUCUCCUACUGAUACAUUGCUACCCACUCAGAGCAUCACUGCUGCUACAAAGCUGGUGUCUUCAAAUAGGCUACUUGAUCCUGGCCGUUACAGCUUCCGUUUUGAUGAUCAAUACUUGCUUUCACUGUUCCAUGAUGAGAAGAACAUAUCUUUUAUCUACUGGCCAAACCCUAGCAUUACUAUUUGGUCAAAGCUUAGGACUCCAUUCAACAGCACUACAGAUGGGGUUCUGGAUAGCUGGGGCCAUUUCCUUGGAAGCGAUAAUGCAACAUUCACUGCUGCUGAUUGGGGUCCUGGUAUUGUGAGGAGGCUAACACUAGAUUAUGAUGGCAAUCUCAGGCUGUACAGUCUUGGUAAUGCGGACGGGGAAUGGUCAGUGACAUGGAUGGCGUUUCCUCAGCUCUGCAAGGUACGUGGCUUAUGUGGUCAGAAUGGAAUAUGUGUGUAUACUCCAGUUCCUGCAUGUUCUUGUGCCCCUGGCUAUGAGGUCACUGACCCAAGCGAUCGGAGCAAAGGCUGUAGCCCAAGUUUCAACCUGAGUUGUGAUGGACAGAAGGUGAAAUUUGUUGAGCUGCGUCGUACUGAUUUUGUAGGGUACGAUCUAAGUGUUCAUCGUUCUGUCCCUGUUGAAUUCUGCGAGAACGUAUGCCUGAAUGACUGCAGGUGCAAGGGUUUCGCCUACUUGGACGGAGUUGGCGAUUGCUACCCCAAGUCUGUUCUUCAUGGUGGUCUAACCAUAAGUGACAGCACUACCACCAUUACCAUGUAUCUCAAGCUUCCUGAUGAAGUAGAAGUGUCCAUGUCCUCAAUUGCACAUUCACAGCCUUUUGGUCCUAAAAAUGGCCCUCGAUGUAACACCACGGACAGCUUUUUCAUAGCAGAUUUUCUGGAUACCCUCAACAGUGGGCAGAGCGUAUCAAAGUUUCUGUACUUCUACGGAUUCCUAUCAGCAAUAUUUCUGGCGGAGCUAAUGUUCGUUUCAUUGGGAUGGUUUCUUUUGAGGAGGGAGGCCCAGCAACUCAGAGGAGUGUGGCCAGCUGAGGCUGGAUAUGAACUGAUAGCUAAACAUUUUCGCAGAUACACCUACAAAGAGUUGGUGUCUGCCACUAGAAAAUUCAAGGAUGAGCUUGGAAGGGGAGCAUCAGGCAUCGUGUACAAGGGAGUCCUGAAAGACAACAGGGUGGUCGCUGUGAAGAAACUGGUAUGCGUAAACGAGGGCGAAGAAGAAUUCCAGCAUGAACUGAGUGUGAUUAGCAGGAUCUACCACACAAAUCUAGUGAGGGUCUGGGGAUUCUGUUCUGACGGCCCACACAGGAUACUGGUCUCAGAGUUCGUGGAGAACGGCUCGUUGGACAGAAUCUUGUUCGACGACGAGGGCUCACAGGACUUGCUUGGAUGGAGCCAAAGAUUUGGCAUUGCUGUCGGGGUGGCAAAAGGGUUGGCAUACCUUCACCACGAGUGCUCAGAGUGGGUCAUCCACUGUGACAUGAAGCCUGAAAACAUACUGCUGGGUGAGAACAUGGAGCCCAAGAUCGCGGACUUUGGCCUCGCAAAGCUGCUGAACAGAGAUGGAUCUAAUAAGGACGUAUCGCGGAUCCGAGGAACAAGAGGUUAUUUGGCACCCGAAUGGCUUUACAGCCUGCCGAUAACGGCGAAGGUGGAUGUUUAUAGCUUCGGUGUCGUGCUUCUAGAACUGCUAAAGGGAGCUCGUGUUUCGGAGCUGGGACAGGAAGAGGAAGAGGAUGUGAAAAUGGCCCUGGGAAGGGUGAUCAGGCUAUGCUCAGAGCAGCUGAGGUCAGAUGGUGGCAAUCAGUCUUGGAUCGCGGACUUCAUUGAUACUCGGUUGAACGGCCAUUUCAACAACUCACAAGCAAGAAUGAUGAUGGAACUAGCUAUUUCAUGCCUUGAAGAAGAUAGAGCCAGAAGACCAACCAUGGAAUGUGUGGUGCAAAAGCUUGUAUCAGUUGACGAUGCCAGUACUAUAUAGCACACCUGUAAAUAAGUGGAAGUGAGGAACUGCAUUUAAUUUGAACUUGAAAGACUACACAACAAAGUAGGUUGAACAUAAAACAAGUAGUUCCAAAUAUAACAGUAAUAUACUUGCAAGAGUUAAUUGCUACCAUAAUUAGUACUUCCUCCGUUUCAUAAGGUAAGAUGUUUGAUUUUUUUUGUGAACUGCAUUUAAUUUGAACUUGAAAGACUACACAACAAAGUAGGUUGAACAUAAAACAAGUAGGUUCCAAAUAUAACAGUAAUUAUACUUGCAAGAGUUAAUUGCUACCAUUUUUUACUAAAUUUUUGAAUAAAACGAAUAGUUAAAUGUUACAACUAGUCAAAUAUCUUACAUUAUGAAACGAAUAUAGUAAUAUUUAUUCGAUACCUAUGUUAUGUAUCAGUUGUAAUAAUGCCAGCCAUAGCUGGAAUAGCGUGCCCUACAUAAGGGAAUGGCAGUGACAUGUUCAUAUGUCACCGCCAUCUUUUUUUUCUUAAGUUUAUACUUAUAAACCAAAAUUUAAAUUUUUAACUCUAAAUUUGGAGUUGAUUUUAGGAUUUUUCAUUGAAGUUUAUUUUCCAUCUUUGUGAUAAGAAUACAUAUAUAUAAAAUUUUUAUUCACAAAUUUUGCGAAUAUGCCAUUUGACUUUUUCCAUGAAACACCCAAACAAUCACCCUAAAAUAGAUAAUAUUUUUGAUUGUUUCUUUUACAUGUGCGUUAGAUAUUUGCCUUAUUUCUUUUUGUGUAUACUUUUUUUGGAAGGUGGGGUUGGGGGUUCAGAUUCAGGACCAACUUCUGUUCUACAUUAACGAAACAAACAAAUGCAACACCAGUACAAGCUGAAUACCCAAAGCAGAGGAUGACUGCAUUUAAACCAUUAUGGACCGCUUGAACCGACCGAUUUUCUUAUAAACCGCCCGCAACACCUCGCAACACCUUGUGUUGUCAUGCAAAAUUUUGAGAAAAGGUGCGGCUGGAAGGAUUCAAUCCCCUGGUGUGUGCUUUGAGUCUUGGCUUCUAGACAUCCUACCUCACGAGGGUGUGUGUUGAAGGAUAAGCAUAUAUUUUAUAUGAACUUAAUGGCCGGACCAUCGAACCGGUGAACUAAGAGGUUGACCGGAUCAUUUUACUAUUUGACUUUUUUUUGCUAUAACUUGCCAGUCAUGUGGUAGGACUCAAGAGAAGCCCCAUAAUAUCAGAUAUGGACAAUACUGCCAAUCUUUUGGUAAGAAUGUCUAAGUGUAGGGUAUAAUCACACAUCAAUCUACCCUAUAGUGCACCAACAUGAAUCCCCACUUCUACAUCCUUACCUCUUAUAUCCAAUUGUACAUAUCAAUCCAUCUUGAAAUCAAAGGUUGGGAUCAACUUGAGUCUGCUCUCCCACAAGUCACGUCUCCACCCUUGCAACGAGUCGCCCUUGCACCUCCACCGCGCCGUCGCCCCUUCACCACACCGCCCGCGCUAGCUCCGGCCCUGCACAUCCACCGUCGCUCCACCGUGCCGUCUGCUAGAUCCAAGCAAAACGUCACCUCUGGCCCUGCGCGUCCACCGCGCCGCCGUCCGCCAGAUAUGCGCUGCCACCCCACCGUGCCGCCCUCGCCACUA